UAGAAACCUAAUGUGUGUUUGGAUUUUAGGUUGGUGACGGAUUCGUCAAUCAUGUGGUAAGUUCGUUGUACAUACAAAAGAUCAUUAAAAAUCCACUGAGAUGGGCCACCCCACUAGGAACAAUCUAGAAUUGCACCGAAUCCAACACAUGAAGGUAUUCUAAGCUCGAUUGGAUGGAUAUAUUAGCAAACUGAAGAAUAAAUCAAUGGUCAACUGAAAAAUAAACAUGGUGGUACUUUCAUCCGAGGAAAUAAUGGUCACAUAGGUCCAUUUUUUCUAAUAAAUGUGAUUGUGUUUUUACUUUUGAUUGAUGAGGGAUGGGGACCAAGGAUUAAUGAUGACUUGCCCAAGUUGCCUUGUGGCACUGCCGAAGAACAUAAAGAGGCGAGGUAUGGAAUAAUCCAUGAAGAUAAGGAAACCAUUUCCUUUGAACUUUGCUUACUAGUUAUCUUGCAUUAUGCAAUGAAAAGGCCAAAUUGACAUGUCGGUUUUGAGUUCCGACUUGAAUAGGCUUGGGCCUAUAAGGACUCACUGACGAGCUUAGGCUAGAUUUAGCCUAGGUCGGCCUGGCCUAUGGGUCAACUGACUCAAACCGCUUUUGAGGAGGGUUCAAACCAAGCUAAUUGAGUGGCGGGUCGGGUUCAAGCUAGACAUAUGGCGUUUUAAGAAAAUGGGUCAAACUUGGCUUGAACCCUAUCCGUCCACAUAGGUUAAAGGGCUGGGCAAGAUGACUUGGCUUGACCAACCCAAAACUCAAAAUAAAAUAAAGAAGAAGUAUGGACAAAUCCUUUGUCUAGACUCAAGCCCAAACUGAUUUUUUAACGGGUCCAAUUUAUUGAACCUGAACUUGUUAAAAUCUGGUCAGGUUCACUGGGUACGCUUGACUUUGGGUACCCAUUGAUAACACUACCCUUGCCUUCAUUUUUGAAGACCUAGACCAAGACUGAUUGAGUUCGGGUACCCAUUAUUAAGUACCCGUCGGGUCUUUAAAUCUAGUUUUCGAGUUGGGUUCAGGGAAAAUAAGACAUGGAUUAGAUCACGCAUACACAUCCCACUUUGAUAUGCGGUCUCUUCAUCAUUUAAUUAAUUAUACUAUUAAAACUAAGUAUACCCAACAUAGACCCGACCUGAGCAGACUUUAACUCAUGGACCUGGCCCAAACUCAA